UCCCUCUUAGCUCAGUUGGUAGAGCGCGUCACUAGUAAAUUGGUUUACGUGAUGACGAGGUCAGUCGUUCAAAUCGGCUAGCGGGAA
rnacentral:tRNA from 1 species